CCCAGCUUGCUGGGUACUCGAGUGGCGAACGGGUGAGUAACACGUGGGUGAUCUGCCCUGCACUCUGGGAUAAGCCUGGGAAACUGGGUCUAAUACCGGAUAUGACCAACUGUCGCAUGGUGGUUGGUGGAAAGCUUUUGCGGUGUGGGAUGGGCCCGCGGCCUAUCAGCUUGUUGGUGGGGUAAUGGCCUACCAAGGCGACGACGGGUAGCCGACCUGAGAGGGUGAUCGGCCACACUGGGACUGAGACACGGCCCAGACUCCUACGGGAGGCAGCAGUGGGGAAUAUUGCACAAUGGGCGCAAGCCUGAUGCAGCGACGCCGCGUGAGGGAUGACGGCCUUCGGGUUGUAAACCUCUUUCACCAGGGACGAAGCGCAAGUGACGGUACCUGGAGAAGAAGCACCGGCCAACUACGUGCCAGCAGCCGCGGUAAUACGUAGGGUGCGAGCGUUGUCCGGAAUUACUGGGCGUAAAGAGCUCGUAGGCGGUUUGUCGCGUCGUCUGUGAAAUUCUGCAACUCAAUUGCAGGCGUGCAGGCGAUACGGGCAGACUUGAGUACUACAGGGGAGACUGGAAUUCCUGGUGUAGCGGUGAAAUGCGCAGAUAUCAGGAGGAACACCGGUGGCGAAGGCGGGUCUCUGGGUAGUAACUGACGCUGAGGAGCGAAAGCGUGGGUAGCGAACAGGAUUAGAUA
rnacentral:rRNA from 1 species